UGAUGGAUUCAGUAAUGAAUCAUCGAAAGUUGACCAGUAUUCAUGCAUUUAUUGUAAAACUGAACCGUUAGUGGAUGGUGACACUUCGAACUUUUCUUAGACCAUGAAACAAAGAUUUUGAAAUGCCUCGUUGAUUCGGUACCAAGGCAAUUCUCCCAUAUGAAAUGGUUGAAUGUAUGAUGUAAACCUAUGCAAAAUGUCACGGCGAAGAUCAAAACGCCUAUCUCAAAAUCCAGACAAACUUAUUUGUCACUUUUGUGGAUGUGAUGAAGAAAACGAAAUAAAAUAUGGGAAGCUUUGGAAUCAGGAUGGCAUCAUUACACACUACUAUUGCUUGUUAUUAUCAUCCAAUAUGGAACAGAAUGGCGAGGACGACCAAGGUAUUUUGGGAUUUAUGCCCGCAGACAUACAAAAAGAACUGCGCAGAGGAAAGAAACUCUCUUGUUGCUAUUGUAAACGAAGUGGAGCAACUUUAGGAUGUUGUCACGCUAGAUGUAAACGAGUGUUUCAUCUUCCCUGUGGACUGCAGGCAGGUUCACUACAUCAAUUCUUUGGUGAAUUUAGAUCAUACUGUGUAACACAUAGAAUACAGCAGAAAAUAGAUGAACACAUAAAGCAGGAAGCUGCAGCAGCAGGGACAGUAAUUUGUUGUAUUUGUUAUGAUGACGUCAGCCCCAAUAACACGAUACGAACUUUAUGGGCUCCGUGUUGUCGAAAAAAUGCGUGGUUUCACAGAGACUGCGUUCAACGCCUAGCAUUGAGUGCUGGAUACUUUUUUAAAUGUCCGCUUUGUAAUAAUAAACAAGAAUUCCAACAAGCGAUGCUGGACCAUGGAAUCUUUAUUCCAAACCAGGAUGCAUCGUGGGAGCUUGUGCCAGAUGCUUUCCAAGAAUUACUGCAUAGGCACAAUUCUUGUGAUGCCGUUGAAUGUCUUUGCCCAAAAGGAAGAGACCACACAAGUGUUAACGCGAAAUGGGAACUAGUUUUAUGCCAGUUGUGUGGCUCUCAGGGUAUUCACAAGGCAUGUGGCAAUUUAAAAUGGUCUAAUUCUACAUGGGACUGUGCUCAGUGUGCCAAUAUGUUGGAUAAGGCCUCUGAUGAUUCGUCUGCUAAAAAUGAAGCAACAGAAGAGACAGAACUUAGUACAAUGCCGGAAGAUAGUGACGGUGAUAGUGAUAUAUCAGUAGUAGGAGAUUCUUCACCAAAACCCACAAUAGAGGAUAGGUAUUCCCCGCCACCUGUAAUUCUAUCUGGUGUUAUUCGACCUGGUCCUCGAUCAUUUAAAUUGAAGCAAGCAGUACAAAACGUCACAAGUACUGAAUCUGCUGCAUCAAACAUCUCUGACACACCAUUAAUUGAGGAUAGGGUUCAAUCUCCAUUGAAUCAUCCAGAACACAUCGCCGAUGCUCUUUCGAAUGAAACAGACGACGAGAGAUCAUUGACAAAUAAUAUCUCUGGAGAAAUUGAUAUAACAGACAAACAACCUAGUUCUAUAGAACAAAACAGUGAAUAUUUACAAGCAAAUGAACCCUCACCAGAAAAUACGCAGACGAUGAAAAGCUCUGAGCAACUUCCAUCUGAAAUCAUUUCGCUUGAUAGCGAUGAUGAAGUAGAAAUAAUCAAUGUUCCACAACUACAAAACGUAUUAACUACAAAGAAUGGAAUGAAAAUUGAAAUUCACAACUUGCCAAAACUACCAGCUGAAUUUGAUAAAGUUGAGGGAGAUUUGAAUGUUAUCAAGUCUAGCCCGCCGCGAAGAAUUCCUUCACAUCAUGGUUUGAUUUCACCGGAAAAAUCUGACAGUUCAGUUAAUCCCUUCAAGAAUUCUACUUCCCAUCCAACACCCAACUCUGAUGAAACAAAUAUACACAGAACUAAAUUAUCUGUUACUCGUAAUGCUGAUACAACUGCAGUAAAAUUGAUCGAAAAUCUAGAUGAUUCAGAGUUGAUCGUAUCGCAACCCUCGGAAAUGAACAUUAAAAUCACUAACGUUACCUCACUUUGUCCGCAUGUUAUACCGGCAUUGCCGCUGAUUAUAAAAAAAAAGGAGUCGAUUUCUUCCAAGCCUCAUCUAUUAAGAAUUGACCUCAAAAAUAAAUCAUCACAUAACGAUGAUCAGCCAAUUGAGUUGGUGGAAACAGACAAUCAAAUCAUUGAGGCAUCAAAUACAUCCACAAAUGGUUUUCAACCAAAUACGGCAAUAGGGGAAUUGGGUUUGAAACGAAAAGACAAGUUUUUUGAUCAUUCGGAUCCUGUCACUGGUCCGUUGAACGACGAAGUUGGACUGCAUAAUAAAAAGGCCCGUAUUUCUCAGUCUCCGAAAUUCCCAUCUGCACUUCAAAAUACAGACGACGGAAUACACAUGUUGAAUGACGUGGGUGGAUCCAUUCCGAAGAAUAGAACUUCCUUAAUACCUUCUACUAGUCAUACCAAAAUGUGUGAUUCAAACCAAUCACAAGAAAAACAGCACUGGAGCCCAGCCGAUAUCAAAACUAGCAAGAGUGGUGUUUCUAGCACACCUCAUAACACAGAUAAGAAUGAAGAGAAGAACAGACUUUUCAGAUUUUCUAGCUUUACCGGCCCAACAAAGUCAGUUAAAACUGUGUAUAACACGAAUCGCAGAAGUGUUUCGCUGAACGGAUAUUCUCCAAUUUGGCCAGAAUGUCAUGCAAAUGGAUCUGAAUCAGUUUCCACGACACCUCCGUCCCAUACACAAGGAGGCAAGACAUCUAAGCUCAGAAAAAUAUUACCCAAACCAAAUGUUCAGAGAACCCUGCGGAUCGAUGACAAUGCUUUAUUUAAUCUUCCACAAAUAUUAGAGACUUCGGAUAAAUUGGUGCGUGCACAACAAACGUCUGAGCAGCACACCUCUAAUCACAGUAAAACUGGGGAUUCAUCGUCUCACCCAAGUUCUCGAUCAUCUGAAAUUAUCAAUGGAGAAAUGUCGGUGAGAAAUAAAAGUAAGCAGACUACGCCAACGAGUAUGUUUACAUCUAGUAGCAGAUUUUGUUGUCCUAUCUCGAACAACGUGUUGAACACGAGCAGUUCUAUAGCGCAAGUAGCUGAUGGACUUUCGAUCACUAGUGGUGCUCCGAUCGUGGUGCUGAGGCCAAAUCUGGUUUUCAUGGAGCAAGAUCAAUUCCGAACGAUGCGACAGCAGAAUCAAUCACUGGCCAACGUGAACCCUGUGCAAAAUCACAAACGAAACAUGAAGUCUGUCAUGAUCCCAGCGUUUGUGUUACGGCCGAUUCUUCCGACGUGCAACAUCACUUCAGCACCUCAACCACGAGAAGAGAUUGUAAUAGACCUCGACUGAUUCCUAGGUCUGUUUCUUUAAGAGAUCUAAAAUUUCGUAUUCUGGAAUCAGGAAUUGUUCAGAUUGCUGUCUCCGAUACCCUCACAUUGAAUGUCAAUACAAGCACCAGUGACGUCAUUGAAGAAUCUCCUGCUAAGUUUACUGCUG
rnacentral:misc_RNA from 1 species